rnacentral:rRNA from 1 species
GAUGAACGCUGGCGGCGUGCCUAAUACAUGCAAGUCGAGCGAACGGACGAGAAGCUUGCUUCUCUGAUGUUAGCGGCGGACGGGUGAGUAACACGUGGAUAACCUACCUAUAAGACUGGGAUAACUUCGGGAAACCGGAGCUAAUACCGGAUAAUAUUUUGAACCGCAUGGUUCAAAAGUGAAAGACGGUCUUGCUGUCACUUAUAGAUGGAUCCGCGCUGCAUUAGCUAGUUGGUAAGGUAACGGCUUACCAAGGCAACGAUGCAUAGCCGACCUGAGAGGGUGAUCGGCCACACUGGAACUGAGACACGGUCCAGACUCCUACGGGAGGCAUCAGUAGGGAAUCUUCCGCAAUGGGCGAAAGCCUGACGGAGCAACGCCGCGUGAGUGAUGAGGGUCUUCGGAUCGUAAAACUCUGUUAUUAGGGAAGAACAUAUGUGUAAGUAACUGUGCACAUCUUGACGGUACCUAAUCAGAAAGCCACGGCUAACUACGUG